UCCUUUUCAAAUAUCAAAAGAAAAAUUGAAAAGAAAAUAGUUCAUUUUUCCCUUGAACCAGAAUGAACUAUGAAGAAAAGAGGAAGACAAAACAGCUCUAAGAUCUCUUCUCUCUCUCUCUCUCUCUCUCUCUCUCUCUCUCUCUCUCUCUCACAAUCAUUAUGAAAUCCUUUGGUGAGUACAUGGAAAGAGGAAUUAAGACAAAUAACCUUGAAGAACUGCAUAAGAUAAUUCAUGCUGUCAUCUGUGCUGAUCUCACAGUGAAGAAUCUGAUAAGGAAGCACCCAAGGACACUAUAAACGUUUAUGGAAGUGGAGUGAGAAGAUGGAAGUGAGUAAGAGACCGAGAGACUUAGGAGUGGAAAAGGAUCCCGGGAACAGUUGGAUUGAGCUUAACAAUAGAGUUCAUGGAUUUUCUGUUAGAGAUAAAACUCAUCCUCAUUGUACCAUGAUAGAUGCAAUUUUGGAGUUCCAUGGAGAUUCCCCUUGGUCUAAUUCCAUGCCUUAUGAUGAAAGGGGAGUCGGCAUGGCGUAAAGUGAAGAUUAAGGGAAGUAGAGUAAAAUCCCUUUUGGGGUAUUCUGUAGCUACUGUUUCACUGGCUUUAGUAUUCACUGGCUUUCAAGGAAUGGAAUAUUAUCAAGCACCAUUCACUAUUUCAAAUAGUAUUUAUGGUUCUACCUUUUUCUUA